UCUGGGCAUGGUGGGGCACACCUGUAAUCCCAGCUACUUGGGAGGCUGAGGCAGGAGGAUCACAAGUUUGGGCUAGGCUGGACAAUUUAGUAAGACCCUGUCUCAA
rnacentral:sRNA from 1 species